rnacentral:tRNA from 1 species
GCCUGGAUGGCUCAGUUGGUUGAGCAUCUGACUUCGGCUUAGGCCAUGAUUUAGCACUUUGUGGGUUCAAGCCCCACAUCAGAUU